rnacentral:rRNA from 1 species
GGCGAACGGGUGAGUAACACGUGAGUAACCUGCCCUUGACUUUGGGAUAACUUCAGGAAACUGGGGCUAAUACCGGAUAGGAGCUCCUGCUGCAUGGUGGGGGUUGGAAAGUUUCGGCGGUUGGGGAUGGACUCGCGGCUUAUCAGCUUGUUGGUGGGGUGAUGGCCUACCAAGGCGACGACGGGUAGCCGGCCUGAGAGGGUGAUCGGCCACAUUGGGACUGAGAUACGGCCCAG